GAUGAACGCUGGCGGCGUGCCUAAUACAUGCAAGUCGAGCGAACGGACGAGAAGCUUGCUUUUCUGAUGUUAGCGGCGGACGGGUGAGUAACACGUGGAUAACCUACCUAUAAGACUGGGAUAACUUCGGGAAACCGGAGCUAAUACCGGAUAAUAUUUUGAACCGCAUGGUUCAAAAGUGAAAGACGGUCUUGCUGUCACUUAUAGAUGGAUCCGCGCUGCAUUAGCUAGUUGGUAAGGUAACGGCUUACCAAGGCAACGAUGCAUAGCCGACCUGAGAGGGUGACCGGCCACACUGGAACUGAGACACGGUCCAGACUCCUACGGGAGGCAGCAGUAGGGAACCUUCCGCAAUGGGCGAAAGCCUGACGGAGCAACGCCGCGUGAGUGAUGAAGGUCUUCGGAUCGUAAAACUCUGUUAUUAGGGAAGAACAUAUGUGUAAGUAACUGUGCACAUCUUGACGGUACCUAAUCAGAAAGCCACGGCUAACUACGUG
rnacentral:rRNA from 1 species